rnacentral:rRNA from 1 species
GACGAACGCUGGCGGCGUGCCUAACACAUGCAAGUCGAACGGAAAGGCCCUGCUCUUGCGGGGUGCUCGAGUGGCGAACGGGUGAGUAACACGUGAGUAACCUGCCCAUGACUUCGGGAUAACUUCAGGAAAAUGGGGCGAAUCCCGGAUAGGAGCUCCUGCACCAUGGUGGGGGUUGGAAAGUUUCGGCGGUUGGGGCUGGUUUGGCGGCUUACCAGCUUGUUGGGGGGGUAGUGGCUUACCAGGGUUUGGACGGGUAGGCGGCCUGGGCGGGUGGCCGGCCACAUUGGGACGGGGAUACGGCCCAGACUCGUACGGGAGGCAACAGUGGAGAGUAUAGCACAGUAGGCUGGAGCCUGAUGCGACAACGCCGCGUGCGGGAUGACGGGCUUCGGGUUGUAAACCACUGUCGCCUGGGACGAGGCGUUAGUGACGGUAAUGGGUAAAGAAGCACCGGCUAACUACGUG